AAUCCGUGUUGUGGACACUUCUGCAAGAGAUCCUUGAAUUGCACCAACGUCUCAAAUAAGGAUUCAAGCUUCAUCUGAACAAAUAACGAUAUCUCAUUAUGAAGCUU